rnacentral:rRNA from 1 species
UACGGAGGGUGCAAGCGUUAUCCGGAUUUACUGGGUUUAAAGGGUGUGUAGGCGGUCUUUUAAGUCAGUGGUGAAAUCUCCGGGCUCAACCUGGAAACUGCCAUUGAUACUAUUAGUCUUGAAUUUUGUUGAGGUAGGCGGAAUAAGUCAUGUAGCGGUGAAAUGCAUAGAUAUGACACAGAACACCCAUUGCGAAGGCAGCUUACAAAACUACAACUGACACUGAGGCACGAAAGCGUGGGGAUCAAACAGG